CUCAUGGAGAGUUCGAUCCUGGCUCAGGAUGAACAUUGGCGGCAUACUUAACACAUGCUAGUCGGAUCGAAAACAUGGGAAACGGUGUUUCCAGUGGCAGACGAGUGAGUAACGCAUAAGAACCUGCCCUUGGGAGGGGAACAACAGCUGGAAACGGCUGCUAAUACCCCGUAGGUUGAGGAGCAAAAGGAGGAAUCCACCCGAGGAGGGGCUCGCGUCUGAUUAGCUAGUUGGUAAGGCAAUAUCUUACCAAGGCGAUGAUCAGUAGCUGGUCCAAGAGGAUGAUCAGCCACACUGGGACUGAGACACAGCCCAGACUCCUACGGGAGGCAGUAGUGGGGAAUUUUCCGUUAUGGCCGAAAGCCUGACAGAGCAAUGCCGAGUGAAGGUAGAAGGCCUACGGGUCAUGAACUUCUUUUCCCAGAGAAGAAGAAAUAACGGUAUCUGGGUAAUAAGCAUCGGCUAACUCUGUGCCAGCAGCCGCGGUAAUACAUAGGAUGCAAGUGUUAUUCGGAAUAAUUGGGCGUAAAGCGUCUGUAGGUGGCAUUUUAAGUCCGCCGUCAAAUCCCAGGGCUCAACCCUGGAUAGGCGGUGGAAACUACCAAGCUGGAGUAUGGUAGGGGCAGAGGGAAUUUUCGGUGGAGCGGUCAAAUGCGUAGAGAUCAGAAAGAACACCAACGGCGAAAGCACUCUGCCAGGCCAACACUGACACUGAGAGACGAAAGCUUGGGGAGCGAAUGGGAUUAGAUACCCCAGUUUUCCUAGUCGUAAACGAUGGAUACUAGGCGCUGUGCGUAUUGACCCGUGCAGUGCUGUAGCUAACGCGUUAUGUAUCCCACCUGAGGAGUACGUUCACAAGAAUAAAAAUUAAAGGAAUUGACGGGGUCCCGCACAAGCGAUGGAGCAUGUGGUUUAAUUCGAUGCAAAGCGAAGAACCUUACCAGAGCUUGACAUGCCGUGAAUCCUCUUUAAAAAAAGGGGUGCCUUUGGGAAUACGGACACUGGUGAUGCAUAGCUGCCGUCAGCUCACGCCGUAAGGUGUUGGGUCAAGUCCCACAAUGAGCGCAACCCUCGUGUUUAGUUUCCAUCAUUGAGUUUGGAACCCUGAAUAGACUGCCAAAGGAAGGUAAGGAUGACGUCAAGUUAUCAUGCCCCUUAUGCCCUGGACGACACACGUACUACAAUGGCCGGGACAAAGGGUUGCAAUCUCGCGAGGGUGAGCUAACCCCAAAAACCCAUCCUCAGUUCGGAUUGCAGGCUGCAACUCGCCUGCAUGAAGCCAGAAUCGCUAGUAAUCGCCUGUCGGCCAUACGACGGUGAAUUCGUUCUCGGGCCUUGAACACACCGCCGGUCAUACUAUGGGAGCUUGCUAUGCCCGAAGUCAUUACCUUAACCGUAAGGAGGGGGAUACUGAAGGCAGGGAUAGUGACUGGAGUGAAGUCGUAACUAGGUAGCCGUACUGGAAGGUGCGGCUGGAUCACCUCCUUU
rfam:Capsicum annuum cultivar Zunla-1 chromosome 1, whole genome shotgun sequence